AUAAGAUCCCUUACGUAUUCAAGCACGCACCGGUAUGCGAUCUCUGUCUUCCUUGUCAUCAAAACAAAUGCAACCGGAAAAGCCUAAGCGAAAUGAAAACCACUGCUUCGCCAGCUUCUACACCUCCAUCUAUGUAGCCCCUAUACAACUCCUCGUUGCUAGACGUUAAAAAUAGAUGGCGGUACCUCAGGUCGGACAAAUUGCCCACAUAUCCCAACAGAGUCUGGGGUAUUGAUGGCUGAGCCUCGGCCCUGGCCCGUUCCAUAGUUCGCAAGAAGCUGGUGUAGGCCAAUUGAGUGUUAACAUGGUGUAAUCUAAGUAUAGAAUAUGUAGGUAUUACUGUGUUAUUUCUUCAUCAUAAAUGACUUUAAGACAGGUCAAUUCUGUUGAACAACGAUGAAGAAUUUGGCUUUUUACACGCACAGCGGACAAAUAUUCCAUAUCAGGAUCAUGAUUAUGAAGUCCGAUCACCUCAAGUCUAUCAUUCCUGAUAAGUCCUUUAUAUAAUAAAAAAAAUUACAAUAUUGUGUUAAGAAGAGUUUAAUGUUAUAAACUGUUUUCAGCCUUAAGAGGAUUGAAAGCGGACUGGUAUUUUCGAAGUUUUAGACCUAAGAUCCUGACAAAAUUACGCCUACGUAGAAUGUCCAAUUUGAAUUUUAUAUUAAAAAUGUCAAGUUAAUCGGCCUCUUUUCAAGGUUAUUGUGUAAAUAAUUUUAUAUUUCAAUUAAAAUUGUGUUUAAUCCUAUUUUAAUUUCUUAAGUUUUUAGUAUCCUUUAUAUUGUUUUAUUAAUCCGACUUCCACGGUAACCUAGGGAAAAAGCUCAUGAGCCCAAAUAUUUAUACAGAAUUAAAAUUCAAUCAUAUUAAGUAGGCAUAAUUUUGUCAAGAUUUUAGGUCUAAAGGGGAGAUUACAUGCGGUCAAAUUUUUCAGUCAAAAUAUCAUUUUUAUUCAAUUGCAUAAGCCAACACGGUGAUCCGAUAAACAAUCUAAAAACAGAUUUGAAUUCGUCAUGAAGUUUACUUAGGAUCGUUCAGGGCACACUUUCGGUUUUUAAUUUAAACCCUUUACCUUUACCCUUUUAAAAUUUGAAAUUUUAUAUAAUAUUCAAACGGGUUUUGUACAUAGUAGGAAUAAGAUAUCAAAAAAGUGCCCUGACCGAUGAAGUAAACUUCAUGGCAAAUUCAAAUAUAUUUUCAGAUAAAUUAUCGGAUCACUGGUUCAGCCUGUGCGAUGGAACAAAAAAUGUAUACUGUAUUAACUAAAAUGGCUUUACUCAUAGACAAAAUUAUUUAAAUUAAAAAUAACACCAUGAAGCUUAUACAAAUUGACCGGUAAAUUAAUUGACAUGGUAAAAAUUUAUUAAAACCAUUUUUCCUAAAUAUUGCCUGUACAAAAUUCCUUAAAAACCGACCGUAUGCAAUUCCCUUAAUUAAUUUCUUGUAUGUACAAAAUGGCAUUUACUCGGAGAAUUAAUUGUAAAAGUUAAAAAUGAUGCCUCUAGCUUUUACAAAGUAACCUGUAACUAAAUAAAAUGUUCGAAAAGUUUUUUUUCUUCUUAAAUAUUGCCUUUUAUAAAACCCCUUAAAAACCGUCCGCUUUCAAUCCCUUUAAUCAUUGUUAUGCUUUAUACCAAAUCGGAUUAUAAAAAAAUAUUAUGAAUAUAAAUACUAAUUGCCACAAAAUAUUCAUGAUAGUUAACCCAUUGAUCAAUUUUUGUAAAUUAUCAUAUUAAAA